rnacentral:tRNA from 2 species
GGGGCUGUAGCUCAGUUGGUAGAGCGCCACGAUGGCAUCGUGGAAGUCAGGGGUUCGAAUCCCCUCAGCUCCA